GACGAACGCUGGCGGCGUGCUUAACACAUGCAAGUCGAGCGGUAAGGCCCUUUCGGGGGUACACGAGCGGCGAACGGGUGAGUAACACGUGGGUGACCUGCCCUCAGCUCUGGGAUAAGCCUGGGAAACCGGGUCUAAUACUGGAUAUGACUCCAUGACGCAUGUUGUGGGGUGGAAAGCCUUGUGCGGCUGAGGAUGGGCCCGCGGCCUAUCAGCUUGUUGGUGGGGUGAUGGCCUACCAAGGCGACGACGGGUAGCCGGCCUGAGAGGGCGACCGGCCACACUGGGACUGAGACACGGCCCAGACUCCUACGGGAGGCAGCAGUGGGGAAUCUUGCGCAAUGGGCGAAAGCCUGACGCAGCGACGCCGCGUGAGGGAUGACGGCCUC
rnacentral:rRNA from 1 species